rnacentral:rRNA from 1 species
UUGGAUUUCUGGCGGGGACCCAAGUACCCCUGCAGGGUGUGCUCGGGCCCGGCCAUCCUUCUGUCAACCCUCACGGUCGUUUACUCGUCCGAGUUGGUGAUCAGAUAAUUUACCUUGAGAAAAUUAGAGUGUUUCAGGCAGGCUUAGCCGGAAUACAUUAGCAUGGAAUAAUGGAAUAGGACUGAUGUCUCGUUGUUGGUUACGCGGACAACAGUAAUGAUUAAUAGGGACAGUUGGGGGCAUUAGUAUUUAUUAGCUAGAGGUGGAAUUCUCUAAUUUGAUAAAGACUAACUUAUGCGAAAGCA